rnacentral:rRNA from 1 species
UACGUAGGCAGCAAGCGUUGUUCGGAAUUACUGGGCGUAAAGAGUGUGUAGGCGGUGCUCUAAGUCUGUUGUGAAAUCUCCCGGCUUAACCGGGAGGGUGCGGCGGAAACUGGAGUGCUUGAGGGUGGGAGAGGUAAGCGGAAUUCCUGGUGUAGCGGUGAAAUGCGUAGAUAUCAGGAGGAACACCGGUGGUGUAGACGGCUUUCUGGACCGUAACUGACGCUGAGACACGAAAGCGUGGGUAGCAAACAGG